rnacentral:rRNA from 1 species
AGCAGUCGCCGCGGUAAUACGAAGGGGGCUAGCGUUGCUCGGAAUGACUGGGCGUAAAGGGCGCGUAGGCGGAUUGCGCAGUCAGAUGUGAAAUUCCUGGGCUUAACCUGGGGGCUGCAUUUGAGACGCGUAGUCUAGAGUGUGAAAGAGGGUCGUGGAAUUCCCAGUGUAGAGGUGAAAUUCGUAGAUAUUGGGAAGAACACCGGUGGCGAAGGCGGCGACCUGGUUCAUAACUGACGCUGAGGCGCGAAAGCGUGGGGAGCAAACAGGAUUAGAUACCCCUGUAGACCCUGUCUCUUAUAC